AUUUCUGCACAACACCUUUGCCAACUUGAGAGAAUGGCGUUGGACUUCUAGCUUCGCAUGUGUUGCACUCCUCCUAUGAUCCCGGAACCUGAAGCCUGUUAUCUCCCUCUCUUCCUUGCCGUGGUCAAAGAACCCGCUGACAGUGGCCAGCUUCCGGAGUAUAUGGUCACGGGCUCUGAGCUACUUUGACAUUGACUGCAAUAGCGCUACAUCAGGCCGUUCGCUCUGUUACCAGGCGAUUUUUGGACAACUUUGCCCUUUUGACUGUGGCUGAUGGUGUUGGAGUUCUUGCAUCGCAUGUUUUGCACGUUUUCCCAUGAUCCCACAACCUGAAGUCUGUUUGCUUUCACUCGUCCCCUUGACGUGGUCAAAGAACUCGCUAUCAAU